UACGUAGGGUGCGAGCGUUAUCCGGAAUCACUGGGCGUAAAGGGCGCGUAGGUGGUCUGUUAAGUCUGGCGUUAAAGCCUGGGGCUCAACCCCAGAUCAGCGUUGGAUACUGGCAGGCUAGACGGUUGGAGAGGCGAGUGGAAUUACCAGUGUAGCGGUGGAAUGCGUAGAUACUGGUAGGAACACCCAUUGCGAAGGCAGCUCGCUGGACAACACGUGACACUGAGGCGCGAAAGUGUGGGGAGCAAACCGGAUUAGAUACCCGU
rnacentral:rRNA from 1 species